GGGGAUGAACGGCUUCGACGGGGCAGGACGUUCUUUGACUGCGGGCCGUAGAGCGUCGACUACGUUAAAAAGGCGCAACACCUAUAAAUGCCAACACAGGCAAACUCUUCAACUUCGGUUUCGCGAACGCCGCUCCGGCAGCAGUCGCCGCCUAAGUGAAGGACUAGACUCUUCGGAGUCUCGGCCCGUUCCGAUGGAGCACCCAGGUCGGACGGAUGCCGUCAUAUACUGGCGGGCUGCGGUGAUAGGACGCCGAUAGCGUCACCUAAGUAGAAUCGGCUAGCUGGGCAUGUGAAUCCCGUCGCACGGAGUCCGCCCAGCGAAACCCAAAUGUGCGACUAUGCCUGUAGACGUUACUGGACAAAUGUUUCGGACGCGGGUUCGAUUCCCGCCAUCUCCACAA
rnacentral:tmRNA from 1 species